ACAAGCGGUGGAGUAUGUGGUUAAUUCGAUGCAACGCGAAGAACCUUACCUGGUCUUGACAUCCCGGAGACCCUUAGGAAACUAGGGGUGCUUCAUCUGGAAGAAUCUGGAGACAGGUGCUGCAUGGCUGUCGUCAGCUCGUGUCGUGAGAUGUUGGGUUAAGUCCCGCAACGAGCGCAACCCUUGCCUUUAGUUGCCAGCAGUUCGGCUGGGCACUCUAAAGGGACUGCCGGUGUUAAACCGGAGGAAGGUGGGGAUGACGUCAAGUCCUCAUGGCCUUUAUGACCAGGGCUACACACGUACUACAAUGGCCGAUACAAAGGGCAGCGACACUGCGAGGUGAAGCCAAUCCCGUAAAAUCGGUCUCAGUCCGGAUUGGAGUCUGCAACUCGACUCCAUGAAGUUGGAAUCGCUAGUAAUCGUGGAUCAGCAUGCCACGGUGAAUACGUUCCCGGGCCUU
rnacentral:rRNA from 1 species